UGAGGAAUAUUGGUCAAUGGGGGCAACCCUGAACCAGCCAAGUCGCGUGAAGGAUGAAGGUCUUAUGGAUUGUAAACUUCUUUUAUACAGGAAUAAAUUGGGGGACGUGUCCCCUUUUGCAUGUACUGUAUGAAUAAGGAUCGGCUAACUCCGUGCCAGCAGCCGCGGUAAUACGGAGGAUCCGAGCGUUAUCCGGAUUUAUUGGGUUUAAAGGGUGCGCAGGCGGGAUGUUAAGUCGGCGGUGAAAUUUUGCAGCUCAACUGUAAAAGUGCCUUCGAUACUGGCGUCCUUGAGUGUAGAUGAAGUAGGCUGAAUUUGUGGUGUAGCGGUGAAAUGCUUAGAUAUCACGAGGAACUCCGAUUGCGCAGGCAGCUUACUAAACUACAACUGACGCUCAUGCACGAAGGCGUGGGGAUCAAACA
rnacentral:rRNA from 1 species